UUGGAGGGCAAGUCUGGUGCCAGCAGCCGCGGUAAUUCCAGCUCCAAUAGCGUAUAUUAAAGUUGUUGCAGUUAAAAAGCUCGUAGUUGAACUUCGGGGUCUACCCAUUGGUCAGGCUUAAUUGUCUGCACUGGUGAGAUGGAUCUCUACCUUCUGAGGAACUUUCAUGCCAUUUAUUUGGUGUGAUGGGAAAUCAGGACUGUUACUUUGAAAAAAUUAGAGUGUUUAAAGCAGACUAUCGUCUGAAUACAUUAGCAUGGAAUAAUGAAAUAGGACGGACUGAUUCUAUUUCGUUGGUUUCUAGGAUCACCGUAAUGAUUAAUAGGGAUAGUUGGGGGCAUUAGUAUUCAAUUGUCAGAGGUGAAAUUCUUGGAUUUAUUGAAGACUAACUACUGCGAAAGCAUUUGCCAAGGAUGUUUUCAUUAAUCAAGAACGAAAGUUAGGGGAUCGAAGACGAUCAGAUACCGUCGUAGUCUUAACCAUAAACUAUGCCGACUAGGGAUCGGACGAAGUUAAUUUUAUAAUGACGCGUUCGGCGCCUUACGGGAAA
rnacentral:rRNA from 1 species